rnacentral:rRNA from 1 species
AGGACGAACGCUGGCGGCGUGCUUCACACAUGCAAGUCGAACGGGGCUCAUUCGGUGGUAACACCGGAGAAGGCCUAGUGGCGAACGGGUGCGUAACACGUGAAGAACCUGCCCCGAAGACUGGGAUAACAGCGGGAAACCGCUGCUAAUACCGGAUGACCCCACCAGGCCGCAUGGCCAGGUGAGGAAAUGGGCCUACCGCUUCGGGAGGGCUUCGCGGCCUAUCAGCUUGUUGGUGGGGUAACGGCCUACCAAGGCUACGACGGGUAGCUGGUCUGAGAGGACGACCAGCCACACUGGGACUGAGACACGGCCCAGACUCCUACGGGAGGCAGCAGUGGGGAAUCUUGCGCAAUGGGCGAAAGCCUGACGCAGCAACGCCGCGUGAGGGAUGAAGGUCUUCGGGUUGUAAACCUCUUUCGAGCAGGGACGAUUGUGACGGUACCUGCAGAAGAAGCUCCGGCCACUACGCGCCAGCAGCCGCGGU